AGAUUUACCCUCGGGAAUACCCUUGAGUACCUUUCAUUAGUUUUGGUUCGUGUCUUGUUUAGUGUGAUUGCAUUUCAUCUUCAAAUAUUUGUUACAAUUUACAUUUGCUGGAGGUCAGGUCCAUGCCCCCCUCCUCUAUUUGUUUUCCCGCUUUUCAUUAUAUAAAAUAAACCACACUAGUGGUAUUUGCUUAAAAAAAAAAAAAAAAAAA
rnacentral:lncRNA from 1 species